AAGCGUGGCGACACGUGCAGCUGACGAAUACUAAUCGAUCGAGGACUUAACCAA
rnacentral:rRNA from 1 species